rnacentral:rRNA from 1 species
AACGAACGCUGGCGGCAUGCCUAACACAUGCAAGUCGAACGAGACCUUCGGGUCUAGUGGCGCACGGGUGCGUAACGCGUGGGAACCUGCCCUUAGGUUCGGAAUAACUCCCCGAAAGGGGUGCUAAUACCGGAUAAUGUCUUCGGACCAAAGAUUUAUCGCCUUUGGAUGGGCCCGCGUUGGAUUAGCUAGUUGGUAGGGUAAAAGCCUACCAAGGCGACGAUGCAUAGCUGGUCUGAGAGGAUGAUCAGCCACACUGGGACUGAGACACGGCCCAGACUCCUACGGGAGGCAGCAGUGGGGAAUAUUGGACAAUGGGCGAAAGCAUGAUCCAGCAAUGCCGCGUGAGUGAUGAAGGCCUUAGGGUUGUAAAGCUCUUUUACCCGGGAUGAUAAUGACAGUACCGGGAGAAUAAGCUCCGGCUAACUCCGUG